GACGAACCGUGCGAACGUUGUUCGGAAUCACUGGGCUUAAAGGGCUCGUAGGCGGUUUGUCGCGUCGGGAGUGAAAUCCACUGGCUUAACUGGUGGCUUGCUUUCGAUACGGGCAGACUGGAGGUAUGCAGGGGAGAACGGAAUUCCUGGUGUAGCGGUGAAAUGCGCAGAUAUCAGGAGGAACACCGGUGGCGAAGGCGGUUCUCUGGGCAUGUCCUGACGCUGAGGAGCGAAAGUGUGGGGAGCGAACAGG
rnacentral:rRNA from 1 species